UUGUCAAACAAGAAGACAUCCAAUAGUUGCAAUGUUAUCUAACCAAUAACAAAGCGACCCUUGAGACCCAUGAAUUCAUCUGUAAAAGGAUUAAUCACAAUACAGUGCAUAAGGUGCCUAGUGAUUUUAAUGUGCACAAUGGUGUACCUUAAUUAAAAACACAGUUGCAAGAAGCUGUAACUACUAACCAUUUGAGGACCAAUAACAAUUAG